rnacentral:rRNA from 1 species
CCUACGGGAGGCAGCAGUGGGGAAUAUUGCACAAUGGGGGAAACCCUGAUGCAGCGACGCCGCGUGAGUGAAGAAGUAAUUCGUUAUGUAAAGCUCUAUCAGCAGGGCAGAAAAUGACGGUACCUGUGUAAGAAGCACCGGCUAACUACGUGCCAGCAGCCGCGGUAAUACGUAGGGGGCAAGCGUUAUCCGGAUUUACUGGGUGUAAAGGGAGCGUAGACGGCAGUGCAAGUCUGGAGGGAAAGGCGGGGGCUCAAACCCCGGACUGCUCUGGAAACUGUACGGCUGGAGUGCAGGAGAGGUAAGUGGAAUUCCGAGUGUAGCGGUGAAAUGCGUAGAUAUUAGGAGGAACACCAGUGGCGAAGGCGGCUUACUGGACUGUAACUGACGUUGAGGCUCGAAAGCGUGGGGAGCAAACAGGAUUAGAUACCCCGGUAGUC